UCCCGAAGGAGCAACGCUGGGAUACCUGUGAGGGAGGAGGAAGGGGUCGACCCGAGGACUGCUUUCACCCUCGAUGAGUAUCCGGCACGUGGCCUAGUCCCUUCUCAAGAAUGCCUAACGAAGCUAGGCCGGUGUGCGAGUGCGCGCAGGUGCCCCAAAAGUCUUGCAUCGGGAUGAACAUCCCGAGCAAGAGCAUGGCGACUCCGAAGAACUCGAGGGGUUCAAAGACCGAGAGGGCCCCGAAAAAAUUAUCCGAGGACUCCGUCAGGAUCCCGAAGCCUAGGCCACCGGAAACCGGAAGCAGCACUUCCGUGGCGGAACAGAGACGGCCGGGGAAAAACGGAAGCAAACAAGAGAAGCGCUUGAACGCCUCGAGGAGGACUCGAAGCGCCGACAGGACGGACUCGCAUUACACCUCUCAUUACACGUACAUUGACUCCGGCUCGAGCAUACUCGGAGGCAACAUUCGAGAAGACACGAUAACGGAAGCGAUCUACACGACUAUUCAGGACUCGCCGAACAGGAACGUUAAUGGCACUACCGGAAGUCAAGUCAAUGGACACAGCCGGUCACAGCCGGUACACGCUAUUCCUUCGAUGACUUCGCCACCACCUACCUACGAUGUUGCUAUGUGGCAGUUUUCGAUGUUGCAGUCGGGUUUACCGCCGUCCUACGAGGAAUAUCUCUGCCACAAGUAUGCGGCGAUCUCGCGAUCGCACACACCUCCACCUCCGUGGUCAGACUCGACGAGCAACAUCCACCAGGUGCGAAGAGACCUCCUGGCCAGCCAGCCGGAGCUGCGAGAGUACCUGAACCAGCUGGCCCUGGCCCACAACGUCGACCAGGGGGCACAUCAUCAGCAACUCCUGAGGGACUCUACUUCCAGCAACCAGCAGCCCCCCAGGAAGCAGCAACCCGCCAGGAUCCAGCGAACCCGGCCCAUGCCCCCCAGGUCGCAGAGCGAAAGUCGUGCCCAGCAACAGCGAAUCGCGACCAUGUACGAGGACGGAGCCUUCUGCAUGGAGACCACGGCCAUACAAUCGGCGUUUGAUAACGGCGUGGCCUUUUGCAGUGUCAUGUAAACCCCCCUGAAGUUCCACCCCGACUACCAGACUCCGAUUUGUCAAUGAAGAAUUUUGUCAGGAUGUAACAAAACGCGGGAGUCUCUAGUCGAUGUCAAAAGUCGAGAAUAAGUCUAAGUACACGAUCUAUGAGGAGGAUGAUCUCGUGGAUCUCCGUAGCCUCGACGGGGCGAGGAUUUUCGUUUCUUCGUUUCCUUCCUGGCUGGCCCAGGACCUCUCGUUUCCGGUCUGGACGCACUUCCGGUACAGCGCCUGGAAGUCCAUUCUACCCCUUGGGCGAUUGAAAUUCCGCGCUGCUCCCGCC
rnacentral:misc_RNA from 1 species